rnacentral:rRNA from 1 species
AUUGAACGCUGGCGGCGUGCUUAACACAUGCAAGUCGAUCGGUAACAGGUGUAGCAAUACAUGCUGACGAGAGGCGGACGGGUGAGUAAUGCUUGGGAAUCUGCCUAUUAGUGGGGGACAACCCGGGGAAACUCGGGCUAAUACCGCAUACGCUCUACGGAGGAAAGCCGGGGACCGCAAGGCCUGGUGCUAAUAGAUGAGCCCAAGUCGGAUUAGCUAGUUGGUAGGGUAACGGCCUACCAAGGCGACAAUCCGUAGCUGGUCUGAGAGGACGACCAGCCACACCGGAACUGAGACACGGUCCGGACUCCUACGGGAGGCAGCAGUGGGGAAUAUUGGACAAUGGGGGCAACCCUGAUCCAGCGACGCCGCGUGGGUGAAGAAGGCCUGCGGGUUGUAAAGCCCUUUCGGUGGGGAAGAAAAGUCUCGACCUAAUACGUCGGGACCUUGACCGUAACCCACUAAAGAAGCACCGGCUAACUCUGUGCCAGCAGCCGCCGUAA